rnacentral:rRNA from 4 species
UGGGGAAUCUUGCACAAUGGGGGCAACCCUGAUGCAGCGACGCCGCGUGAGCGAUGAAGGUUUUCGAAUCGUAAAGCUCUGUCCUAUGGGAAGAUAAUGACGGUACCAUAGGAGGAAGCCCCGGCUAACUACGUGCCAGCAGCCGCGGUAAUACGUAGGGGGCGAGCGUUGUCCGGAAUUACUGGGCGUAAAGGGUUCGCAGGCGGCAUGGCAAGUCCGAUGUAAAAGGCGAAGGCUCAACCUUCGUAAGCAUCGGAAACUGUCAAGCUUGAGUGAAGGAGAGGCAAGUGGAAUUCCUAGUGUAGCGGUGGAAUGCGUAGAUAUUAGGAGGAAUACCGGUGGCGAAGGCGACUUGCUGGACUUCAACUGACGCUGAGGAACGAAAGCGUGGGUAGCAAACAGG